GACGAACGCUGGCGGCGUGCCUAAUACAUGCAAGUAGAACGCUGAAGGAGGAGCUUGCUUCUCCGGAUGAGUUGCGAACGGGUGAGUAACGCGUAGGUAACCUGCCUGGUAGCGGGGGAUAACUAUUGGAAACGAUAGCUAAUACCGCAUAACAGUAGAUGUUGCAUGACAUUUGCUUAAAAGAUGCAAUUGCAUCACUACCAGAUGGACCUGCGUUGUAUUAGCUAGUUGGUGAGGUAACGGCUCACCACGGCGACGAUACAUAGCCGACCACGGAGGGGGGUCGGCCACACUGGGACUGAGACAAGGGCCAGACUCCUACGGGAGGCAGCAGUAGGGAAUCUUCGGCAAUGGACGGAAGGCUGACCGAGCAAAGCCGCGUGAGUGAAGAAGGUUUUCGGAUCGUAAAGCUCUGUUGUAAGAGAAGAACGAGAGUGAGAGUGGAAAGUUCACACUGUGACGGUAUCUUACCAGAAAGGGACGGCUAACUACGUG
rnacentral:rRNA from 1 species